ensembl:lncRNA
AGACCCGUUAAGUGUUAUGUUGACAUGUAGGGGAAUGGAAAGUUACAGGAAAGAGCUUGGAGAUUUAUAUAAGGGAUGUUAGGACCUGCAAUAAAGGAUUUGGAUUGUUCACACAUCUGAGUCCCUGCCUUCAGACACUGGAGUACUAACUCAUACACUACAAUAAAUUAGCUUCUCAUUUGUACCUCUGUGUAUGGGAACCGUUAAAUCAUGGCUUGAAUCAGUAAUUGAGCACCUGCUGAAGUGGCAUAGCCAGCCCUGGAAGCACUGAUGGAAGCAAUUCACCUGUGGACCAGAACAGUUGGAACCAGGGUCCAGCUCUACUUACCUUCAUUUAAGGGCUGGUAGCCACAGAGGAAUCAUUUUUUCUUUUAGACUGCCUGCUUUGGAGUGUUUGGUGAGCCCUGAUCCUCAGGAAGGGGAUUUGUUCAGAAGAGAACAAACUAUGUAUUCAAAUCCUAUCAGUACCACAACUAAAAGCUUCAAAUUUUCUCAAUCCCUGAAGCUAGGUCACCAAAACUGACAUUCUUAAUCUCUGCUGAUGCUGUGAACUUCAUAAGAGUCAAUGGCUGGGUUGGAGGAGAUCUCAAAGAACUAGAUCAGGCUGCCCAGGGCCUCAUUCAUCCUGACCUUGAACACCAGCAGGAAUGAGGCAUCUGCAGCUUCUCUGGAAGUCUGUUCCGGUGGCUCACCACUCUCUGAAGAUGAAGAUGUGUUCUGGGACUGUGUCAGCGGCCUUGGAAAACCAGUGUUACCAUUAGCUGCUGGAACUCCAUGACCUGGCAGCCUCUGUGUGUCAUAAUGGUGUCUCACUCCACUUUAUAGGAGGAAGAAGAGGUUCUUUGAAAUAUAUAUACCAGCACGCAGGUCUCAGGUCGUGAGGAAUCUGAUGUCAGAAAACCCUUUCUUCAUGAGGAAUCUGUUGUCAGAAACCUCUCUUCAUGGUUGUUCAUCCCUUUUUUAUUCUUCUUCUGCCAACGUGGCAUUCCUGGGUGCUUGGGUAACUGUCAUGUGCAGCACCUCCUGAAAUGGCUAUCUCCCUUGAGAUAAGCCCACACAAAAGACUGCUUCCUGGCCAUUAAGCUCUGGCUUAUCUCUCUCUCUCAUUGCCUCUGGCCUUGUCCAUCUGUGUCCCUCAGACAAAGGAUUUCUCAACCCUUGAUCAGGACUUGCUUGGACUUGCUCAUCUGUGUCCCUCAGCAAGCUCUGAGACAAUGUAAAAGAAUAGUCUCUUACAAAUGGCCUUGAAUUUCUGGAGCCUGCCUUUCUUUCAGUAGCAAGAAGUUUUUAUAUUGGUUCCUUCUGUCUUGUGAAAACACAGUCUUGGAAGGAAGAGGGUUCUCAAAACAUUUCUUCUCAUUAUUUUUCUUUCCAUAAAAAACUGUAGUAUCAAAAUGCAUUGCUAUUAGCAACUUGCUGUAUUUAAUGGAAGAUGAACGGGGAUAGCAACUUCUGUAUGUCCAUGUUGUGAGAAGCAGUUGUGUAAGUUCAAAUAGAAAUGUACUGAUGCAUCCAUGCGGGACUUCGUAGAAGUAAAUACAAUGAGCCUGUGAUUUGUGUCAAAUAAAACCGAUGAAU